rnacentral:rRNA from 1 species
AUGCAGGGCACCGGUGAAGAUGAUGGGUUAAUGGACAAUGUCAAGCUGCCGGACAAGGUAAUAACACUGGUUGCUACUGCUGUCCAGAAGCUGUCUGUGGCGGCAUCUCCGCUGAUCCAAGCGACGGAUCAGCUAGGGGAGAAGGCGGCGUCCUCGAUGGCGACGGAUCCUGGGCUGCAGCUGCUGGGUUUCUCCCAGGAGGGAAGGCCAGUACUGGUCAGCUCGGGGGCCAGGGGGCCCGAAACCAUGUCCAAGGUCAACUACGCUGCGGCUCGUGCGGAACAAGCGGCGGAUCAGGUGGCCCAUCCUGGACUCGGCGUGGCACUCAACUCCAACUCUGGUGCCGCGCUGGGACUAGCUCCUGGCGAUGGUAUGAACAGGCCUGGGGAGCACCUCUACUCCCACUUGGGUGCUCCUGGGGCGAGCGAGGAGGAGCGGGAGAAGGCCCGGCUGCAAGUCGUUGGUCUGGACAAGGUGCAGCCAGCCAAGGCCGGCUCCAACAUCCCCACUGAAGCUUUGGGGCUGGCUAAUAAGGGCCUUGUGGAGGGCCUCAAGGCGCAGGCUCAUGGAGGACAACGUCCAAGCGUCGACACCAAGGGCGACGAGACCAUUUGGGGCCGCUGGAAGCGGGUUCACAGGGAGGAGCGCGAGGAACGUGAGGUGGUGUAG